CAGAGUAGAAAUGACGCGUCAAGUGUCGCGAAAUGGGAGGUCGUUCGCGGACGAAAGGAUUUGAUUUUGAAAUCCUGCGGUGUCAUUUCGCAUCCGCUGC
rnacentral:ncRNA from 1 species